CACGGAGGGUGCGAGCGUUGUCCGGAAUUAUUGGGCGUAAAGGGCUCGUAGGCGGUUUGUCGCGUCGGGAGUGAAAACCCAGGGCUUAACCCUGGGCUGGCUUCCGAUACGGGCAGACUAGAGGUAUGCAGGGGAGAACGGAAUUCCUGGUGUAGCGGUGAAAUGCGCAGAUAUCAGGAGGAACACCGGUGGCGAAGGCGGAUCUCUGGGCCAUUACUGACGCUGAGGAGCGAAAGCGUGGGGAGCGAACAGG
rnacentral:rRNA from 1 species